GGCCAGCUGUCUGGCGAGUGUCGUGGGC
rnacentral:sRNA from 1 species